UGUACAUGUUGCAUUUUCAUAUUCUUUGGACUUUAAUUCACGAUAACACUGUUGGUCGUAUUAACUUGUGUAUCGGCCUCAGAUAACUUACAGUAUACGUCUAGAGGUAAUUACAAGCGAAAGUUGGUUGCUAAUAUUCAGGACAAUUUUGACAAAUGUCUGACGGAGAGGGGGGUGAAUGGAUGAGGCUAGACAACAUGGUAUGCCCAGUCAGGGAUUGUACCGACAGAACACCUGGACCUUGGGUGUGCGGUAAAGAUGGAAACGGUACCUUCCUUAACGAAUAUGGAAAAAUUAAAUGUGCUACCAAAAAGGACGCCAAAGCUAUACACAUAGGAGAUUUAUGCAACUGGAAUUGGAAAUGUGGAAACAACCACGCAGGUCAAAGCGAUAAAGCGGAUUAUGGAAAAUUUACUUUUGCCAUGUCUGAUGCUUUAAGAUAUGGUGGGGAAUCAUCAUCGCAGUGGCUUGUAACGCUGAUUAAAUCUUUGGGCCGUCAAUAUAAUAAAUGAGGAAGCUUUCAAUCGCGUACAGUGGAAGUCAGGACUUAUCAGAGGAUGAAACUUACAAAGCAGAAUUGCAACGAUACAAUCUACUUUUCUAAUAAUUCAGCUAAAAAAUAAACGCAUUUUAUUAAGUUGCUAUUAAAAAUAAUGAAUUAUAAUAUACAUUAAAUUGACAUUUUUUCCUUCUCACAAUUUGAACACUUAUAUAUUAAAUACAAAUACAACUCAUAAUAUUG